rnacentral:lncRNA from 1 species
CUCUGUAUAAGAGUCAGGUGAGAUUGCUGGAGAAAUGACUCCAAUUAAGUAUUGCUUGGAGAAACAGUUGCCAUUUCUGUGAGUAGUGUAGUAGUGGUCGUGCUUGUUAGCCUUUGUGGCUCUUUUUGUAUUUUUUAAAUGAGACUUGCGUAAUUCUGUUUGUUUCAUGUGUAAAAGUUUUCACUGGAAGAGCAGGGAAGGGGGAGUGCUGCAUGUGUGAGAGGACAGAGGGAGAGGGAGCUGGGCUGGGUAGAAAAAAAAAAAUAACUACACAGGCUGUGGGACUCAAGGCGACUAUAAAACAGCUUUCUUGCCCAUUGUGUUGAUGUAGUCUAGAAAUAUACCGUAACGUAAAGUCAUAGACGGAGAUGGAGGAGUGAGGCGGGACCGGUUGCGUGGCUGCUAAGAAACGUUUGUCUUGCGGUUUGCGAGCAAACUUUGUGAGGAGAUUUAUUUGUGGCGGGGUCUGCCGAUGACAAUCCUCUGAAACUUUAACUCUCGUGUUUGAGACGCAACACUGCGCAUAAACAAGACGUUUAUUAUUUUAAUUCUUGUAAGAGAAACGCAGUUCAGAAAUUAAUUUUGCGAGUCGUAUAUCUGUCCUCUAGUGACAGUUUGAACACAAGCGGGACAGUAUUAGAAGAGGUAUUUUACUGACUAGGGUCUCCGUAUAGUUGAAAUGGGAGCGGGUGACUGGCGCUCGGUGUCUGCGGUUCACCGGAGCUCUUUCCUCCUGAGGACGCUGCUGCUGCUGAUACUGUGGCUGACAUGCGUUCAGGGGACGUGGGGACCCGGAGUUUACAAAUACCAGAUCGGGACAGCACUCCACAAAGACCAGUCGAAAAGACUGAUGAAACAGACGGUGUUUACUAAACACAUGCAGCUGCAUCGUCUACAUGCUGUGAGACUGAGAGGGAAGUUUAUUGCACUGCUGUCUGAUGAUGCAGUGAGGAGAGGUCACAGACUUCUUUGAGAUGCCUUGGAUAGCCAGCACUGUUUACUGAGAGGUGCAAUUUAACUUCAGAUAUAAAGAACGCAGUCUGUGUUUAUACUUUAAACUGUGUGAAAUACUCAAGAUACAGCUGCUUUGAGUUUACUUGUUUAUAUAGUAAAUCAUGUUCAGCCUUUAUUUUUUACAUUUAAGCAGUGAUUUAUUCCUAAUCU